rnacentral:rRNA from 1 species
AGCAACAACCAUAUUUCCCUGCAACUCACAACUGGCAACCCACUGAAGCUAAGCAGGUGUGAGCCUGAUCAGUACCUGGAUGGGAGACCUCCUGGGAAAAACUAAGGUUGCUGCUG